UGGAUCUGAUGAUGCUCGCAAAAGGAAAAUUGACGGCAUGCUGGAGUGAAUGAAGGAGCCAGCCUUUCAUCUACAAAUUGAAAACGGAAGCUUGAUUAACUUGUACAUUUAUCCUUUUGCCUUUUCUGUUUGGAUUUGGAUCUAGAGUUCUUCAGGAAGUAGCUUUUAAGGUGGUCGAUUGACCUUGAAAACGAUAUGGUGUCAAGCAAUGAAAAUCUGCUUAGUGUACUAGUAAACUGACAUCACAAUAUCCAGCAGUGUGUUUCUCCACCCAGAUAUUAGUGGAGAAUUUACUGAUGAAACUGAGAAGAGCUACGAAGUCUAUGCAUCUCAAAUCCCUCGAGGAAAGUUUCUGCCACAGUGCUCAUGGUUUUCAAAUUGAGCACUCCCUAAUGUUUUUGUUUAUGUACUGUUAUGGAAUAUGUUGUCCUAUGAAGUAUAGAUACUUCUGCAUAUUGAUUCAAAUACAUCUUUUGUUUCAUAAUAGUUUUUCUACUUGGAUAGUUUGUUCUUCAAGAGCAGUUUCAUGGGAACUUCACUGGAUUUUAAAUUAAUAGCCAAUAUAUCACUAUCAGUCCAAUGAUUAGAUUUCUAUUGGAUAUGUAGGUUUCACCACUUUCCUAGAUAAAUUAACCCCUCAAAUUCUCCCUUGGUGGCUUGGACACUAUAAAAAAUUUUCAGAUUAUCUAGUAUGUAUCUGGUAUAACUGUGUGUUGGUUUGCAAGGAAACUAACAUUUAAGGCUGGAGAAUACUGGCAGGCCAAAAGAAGAAGUGAUCAAUGAUGUCAUGUGGAGAGCAUAGAAGGAGUAUGCGGAUUCUUGAACUAGGACAAAGAAAGGUUCAAAAGGCAGUUAACAAGGAGAAACCUGAGAUCAGUUUCGGCACUUCUGAAGGUCAAUCUAGUCAAAGGCAGAAGGAGAAAAUCAAACCUAAGUUAGGUCAAUCAUGCCUCAAGCAUCAGAGCUACAAAUUCCGGUGAAGCAGUUGCAGUGUCAUCUAAUACUCCAUUACCUCCAACCAGUGCUCUUGAACUGUUACUUGAUGUGCUGCAAAGCAUGACAUUUUCCAAGUAUUCAGCAACGCUAUGCUUUUCAAUGAUUGCAGGAUCGUCUUUUUUAUAAAGGCCUGUGCAGCUAGAGAUGUUGCCAAAAAGUUAUUUGUGAAUUUUCUGAAUCAUGGACUAUGAAGCUAAUUUCGGAUGGAGCUGGUGGCACUUAGGGAUCUGAUAACUGCAGUUAAGUAAUUAGAGGUAUUCAACAUAUGAGAGGAUAAUGAUGGAGUAUAUGUAACAAUUGAAGGAAUUUGGAAUGCUAGUCGCAAAGGCAGCAUGUUGAAUUUUACAAGUGGUUUGGGCCCAGUAGCUCUGAUGUUGGCUCAGAGUAUGUUGGAUAUAUAAUGGACCUCCGAAAGUUUCAUGGAUACCGAGCUUUUAACCACCAGAAAGUUUCAUGGACAGCAUAUCCUGGAAGCAGGAUGCCCUAUUCUGUCCAUCAGAAUCCCUUUGGAAGCAGUAUGAGGACUUCCGAUCAGAACCCAGUUUGUAACCACCAGCAAGUUGCAGCGCAGCAUCUACUGGAAGCGGGAAGCUUCCUUCUGUCUAUGAGAAUCCCAUUGGGAACCCUGCUGUCAAGUUAAUCUUCAAAUUCAAAAUCUUUCCGGCAUAAGUUCUUGGUGCUGUCAAGUUCUGCCAUCGAUAGUGAAUUCAUGAUUGUGAUAAUAAAGUUAGGUUUCAACAGAUUAUUCCAACAAUUGUGUUCAUUUAGUAAUGUUCAUCUUUAGUAAUUAAGAAUGGUCUUAGAGUACAUUGUAUAAAAAUUUAUCGUUCGAGCAUAUAAAAACUAGUCGGUGGUUUCAAACAAGGAUAAUUAAGAAUUUAGUAACUAAUUUUGAGAUGGAUGAUUAUUAUCUGUCGUAUUCUUCUUGUUGGUAUCAUUGUUACAAUGUAGUCAGAGAUCCAGAACAGGGAUAGAAUUUGAGUUCUACUUGAUAGGAGCCCUCUUGAAGAAUUAGCUGAAUUUCUAGAUGAGACAUUUCUCGAUAUUUCUCUAUGGCAGAACAUGUUUGUCGAAUCUCGAUGUUAAUCCUCGAGUCAGUAGUAGACAUACCAGUUAAUAACUCUGUUGUGUUGGUGAAUCUAUGUUCGUUAGCCUCGCAAAGAUGUUGAAAUGUAAUUAUCGACAUAAAAUUCACCGCUAUUAAUUGCACCCUAUUCUUUUCGCAAUAAAUCGAUUUUUGCUGUCGAGUUCAGGCAUUAUAUGUUAUGGGAAAUUUAAGUAUUAUUCUUAGUUGGCAUAAUAAUACAUAUCUACCAUUCAUUCAUAUCUACCAUUCAUUGAAGGUAAAACGUCAAUCGUACUUUCCUUCCAUAUGUUAUGCAUGACGACUUUCUAUUUUGGCAAUACAUACCAUUUAGAGGGAAGAAUUGAUGUUUGAAAUAUGUUUUGUUCAAUUUGAAAUCAGUUUACUCCAACUAAUGAAAUUUCCAUAAGCCAGUUGAUCUGUACUAUUACAUUUUUGGCAAUAUGCAGGUAUAGUCUUACUCGAAGGAUAUGGAUACGGCCUUUUCUCUGCAGUUCUUCUGCUGAACAGUACAUGGACCUGAGCCAAAGUUCUUGUCCUUAACCAACUCAGGCCGUGGCCUGCCGGCCCAGAACCACCUCCGUACCUCCAGCCCGAUUGGUAGACCUGUUGAGCUCUAUCAUUGCCAGAAGUUGGAUGAAUCCUGAAGGCAAUUUCAGCUCUACGACUUGAUCUCAUCAUAUCGUGAUUGCGCCAUGGAUAAAGAGAUUGUGAACCGCCACCAUUUGUUGCGGGCAGUGUUUGUUGUAUUCCGAAAUCUAAAGAUUUCAUUUCUGGUGCUCUAUUAAGGUUAAUGACCUGCAUAUUCAUCUACGUCAGGUUCGACAAGUAUCUCUCUCUUGGUCCAUUCUCGAUCUUCCAUGCGGAGGAGGAAGAUGUGGUCAAGUUUGUAGAUGCAGAAACCGGGAAAGGAAAACCAAAAGGAGCUGCAUAAGGACUGUGAGAUGUUUCUGCAACAUGGUUAGACAGAUUUCCCUUAAAAACCCCUUGAAGUACGGACUCCAAACCCUUCAUGAACUCUAGCAACCUCGUUUUAUACCCCAGAUGAUCUCUGUUAUAAUUCUAGCAAGCUCUCCUUAUUCCCCAGAUCCUCUCCGUAAUUUCACCAGUUGUAGCACAAACUUUGACACGGAGGCUAGCUCUCCUUAUUUGCAGAACUUGCAAGCUCCAGAACCUCACGGAAGUACAGCCUCUCCAGUUACGACAAUAUGCAUAUAAGUAAUUGUCAACAUUUCUCGUAUGUGGUCAAAUCUAACGAGUUUACCAUCAAAAGGGAAAAAAAAAAAAUCAAAGCCCCGCACAAAGAACCAUUGCAGCAAUAUCUAUAUAAGGUGCAUGAUGGAGCUAUACAAGAGACGUCGCCAAAUGGUAGGCGUCUCUUCAACGAAGCUACACAAUACAAGAUAUCUUUAAGAAGGUGUUCAUGAAUUGUUUGCCGCUUCAUCUACUGAAUACUGAAAGUGCAAAGAGAGAAGUCGAGCAAUCAUGGCAAGCGGGGAGCGUAGGAGUGCAGAAUUCUUGAAAUAGAAGCAAAGAAAGGCCCAUGAAGCAGUAAAGAAGAAGAAUCGAUCAAUCCAACAAUGAGGAGGGGCAGUCGAGCCAAAGCCCUGAUAGAAAAGAUAAAAGACAGAUCUCUGCAAGAUUUUGCUGUUAAUCCACUCAAACAGCAGGAUCCUAGAAUUGAUCUAGAUGUCAAACGAAAAUAGAAAACACAGUACAAAGAUGUGCCAUCUUCGAUCUUUUCCCUUCCUUGCUUGGUGAGAGUACGGCAAUUCAGCUCAGCUAUUCGGAGCGGCUCAAAAGCUCUACUGCAAGCCAACUGAAGCUCUACUAAUUACAGAGAUCAUCUGGGGUAUAAGGAGAGGUUGCUGGAGUUCAUUAAGAGUUUGGAGCCGGUAUCUCAAGGGGUUUCACGGGAAAUCUGCGUGACCAUGAUGCAGAAACCUCUCAUAGUCCUUAGGUGAGCUCAAAUAAUCAACCAAAAAGAAGUUCUGGUAAUCUUGUUCCACAAUGUUCAGGAAGGUGGGUAUUCUCUGCUGCUUUAAUGAACCCAGCGAGAAUUCUCGGAGAUUCACAAGUAACAGGUGGGCACUAUAAACAUAAGUAAAGGUGGAGAAAAACCGUGCGUAUUUGCUGGAAGGAACUUUGGCCACGGUCAAAGCUCAGGAGUUGCUCCAAGGGGAACUCCAAUAGAAAAUUCGGGUGGCUACGUUGGGGAAGGCGUUCAUUCCAUGAACAAAUGGUCAGAGCUUACUAUGGGCUUCCCACAAGGACAUGGGUUAUGCAGCUCCUUUUGGUUCUCCAUUCCCGGUCUCUGCAUCUACAAACUUGAUCACAUCUUCCUCCUCUACAUGGAAGAUCGAGAAUGGACCAAGAGAAAGAUACUUGACGAACCCGACACAGAAGAAUAUGCAGGUCAUUAACCUUAGUAGAACAACGGAAAUGAAAUCUUUAGAUUUGAGAAUAGAACAAACUCUGGCUAUAGCAAAUUGUCGUGGUUCACAAUCUUUUUAUCCAUGGCACACUCAUUAUAUGAUGAGAUCAAGUCGUAAUCGAGGUGCUGAAAUUGCCAUCGGCAUUCAUCCAACUUCUGGCAUUGACAGCUCAAAAGGUCUACCAAUCAGGCUGGAGGUACGGAGGUGGUUUUGGGCAGGCAGGCUAAGAUUUGAACUGGUUAAGGACGACAACUCCGAGGCCUCGGCCAUUCAUGAGCCAUCCACGUCGGCCAGCAGCUCACCGAAUAGAGAUCCACUUCUUAGGACCACCUGGGACGUUGCGCCAACAGCAAAGCCAACCUUCUACUUCUGGUGGCCUGGUCGAGAUUGUGUCAGGUUCUAGUGAUAAUGCUGCAUAUGAGUGCCGACGAUCUCCCCUGGUGAUCCCUUUUGCGAGCCUUGUAUUUUACUUUUUUUCAACUUUGUAAAAAUGCUAAAACUGUUGCAUAUGCUAAAAGAGAUAUGAUCCGACAUCUCUUGUUGUUAAGCCUUUUGGCGUUCCAUUACAUGCAAUACGUUGUUGAUGACAUGCUACUCUUCUUAUGAAUGAAAGAGAACCGUCCCUAACA